AAUGGCUCAUUAAAUCAGUUAUCGUUUAUUUGAUAGUACCUUACUACUUGGAUAACCGUGGUAAUUCUAGAGCUAAUACAUGCUAAAAACCCCAACUUACGAAGGGGUGUAUUUAUUAGAUAAAAAACCAAUGCCCUUCGGGGCCCCCUGGUGAUUCAUAAUAACUUAACGAAUCGCAUGGCCUUGCGCCGGCGAUGGUUCAUUCAAAUUUCUGCCCUAUCAACUUUCGAUGGUUGUGUAGUGGACAACCAUGGUAUCAACGGGUGACGGGGAAUUAGGGUUCUAUUCCGGAGAGGGAGCCUGAGAAACGGCUACCACAUCCAAGGAAGGCAGCAGGCGCGCAAAUUACCCAAUCCCAAUACGGGGAGGUAGUGACAAUAAAUACUGAUACAGGGCUCUUUUGGGUCUUGUAAUUGGAAUGAGUACAAUUUAAAUCCCUUAACGAGGAACAAUUGGAGGGCAAGUCUGAGGCCAGCAGCCGCGGUAAUUCCAGCUCCAAUAGCGUAUAUUAAAGUUGUUGCAGUUAAAAAGCCCGUAAACGAGCCUUGGGCCUGGCUGGCCGGUCCGCCUCACCGCGUGUACUGGUCCGGCCGGGCCUUUCCUUCUGGGGAGCCGCAUGCCCUUUACUGGGCGUGUCGGGGAACCAGGACUUUUACUUUGAAAAAAUUAGAGUGUUCAAAGCAGGCCUUUGCUCGGAUACAUUAGCAUGGAAUAAUAGAAUAGGACGUGUGGUUCUAUUUUGUUGGUUUCUAGAACCGCCGUAAUGAUUAAUAGGGAUAGUCGGGGGCAUCAGUAUUCAAUUGUCAGAGGUGAAAUUCUUGGAUUUAUUGAAGACUAACUACUGCGAAAGCAUUUGCCAAGGAUGUUUUCAUUAAUCAGUGAACGAAAGUUAGGGGAUCGAAGACGAUCAGAUACCGUCGUAGUCUUAACCAUAAACUAUGCCGACUAGGGAUCGGGCGAUGUUAUCAUUUUGACUCGCUCGGCACCUUACGAGAAAUCAAAGUUUUUGGGUUCUGGGGGGAGUAUGGUCGCAAGGCUGAAACUUAAAGAAAUUGACGGAAGGGCACCACCAGGCGUGGAGCCUGCGGCUUAAUUUGACUCAACACGGGGAAACUCACCAGGUCCAGAUUUGACGAGGAUUGACAGAUUGAUAGCUCUUUCUUGAUUUCAAAGGUGGUGGUGCAUGGCCGUUCUUAGUUGGUGGAGGUGAUUUGUCUGCUUAAUUGCGAUAACGAAGCGAGACCUUAACCUGCUAAAUAGCCAGGCCAGCUUUGGCUGGUCGCCGGCUUCUAGAGGGACAUCUGUCACGCCCUAU
rnacentral:rRNA from 1 species